rnacentral:rRNA from 1 species
GACGUAGGGCGCGAGCGUUGUCCGGAUUUAUUGGGCGUAAAGAGCUCGUAGGCGGCUUGUUGCGUCAGCUGUGAAAACCCGCAGCUCAACUGUGGGCUUGCAGCUGAUACGGGCAGGCUUGAGUUCGGUAGGGGAGACUGGAAUUCCUGGUGUAGCGGUGAAAUGCGCAGAUAUCAGGAGGAACACCGGUGGCGAAGGCGGGUCUCUGGGCCGGUCGACUGAUGACGGCUGGACGGAAAGCG